UCUGUAAGAAGAGACAGCAGUUUAUAAGUGGAGAAGACAUCUGACAAAAAGCACCCAAGAGGAAGAGCAAACCAUCCAGCAAGUGGAAAGAUGUGGAAGAGGAGGACAAUGAAGUUCAAACAAAAAAGAAAAAGAAGAAAGUAACCGAUCCAGAAAAAGACUCAGCAAAUCAUAUGAUUGAGGAGCUGAAGAACCAGUUGGCUAACAAAAAAAAUUCAGAGUUAGAUAACUCAAAUGAGGUGUCAUCAGAUGAGGAGCAGCUACCCAGAAACUGGAGUGCGGCACAGCAGAAAAUUAAAAAGCUCCAGAGAGAAAACAAGACCCUGAAAGAAACCCAUGUGAAAGAGAUGCUAGAAGCCA